UACGGAGGGGGCUAGCGUUGUUCGGAAUUACUGGGCGUAAAGCGUGCGCAGGCGGUUCGUUGUGUCUGAUGUGAAAGCCCCGGGCUCAACCUGGGAAUGGCAUUGGAAACUGGCGAGCUAGAGUGUGGCAGAGGGGGGUGGAAUUCCGCGUGUAGCAGUGAAAUGCAUAGAGAUGCGGAGGAACACCGAUGGCGAAGGCAGCCCCCUGGGCUGACACUGACGCUCAGGCACGAAAGCGUGGGGAGCAAACAGG
rnacentral:rRNA from 1 species